UACGUAGGGGGCUAGCGUUGUCCGGAAUCAUUGGGCGUAAAGAGCGUGUAGGCGGUCCGGUAAGUCCGCUGUGAAAGUCGGGGGCUCAACCCUCGAAUGCCGGUGGAUACUGUCGGGCUUGAGUACGGAAGAGGCGAGUGGAAUUCCUGGUGUAGCGGUGAAAUGCGCAGAUAUCAGGAGGAACACCAAUUGCGAAGGCAGCUCGCUGGGACGUUACUGACGCUGAGACGCGAAAGCGUGGGGAGCAAACAGG
rnacentral:rRNA from 1 species